CCUACGGGAGGCUGCAGUGGGGAAUAUUGCACAAUGGGGGAAACCCUGAUGCAGCGACGCCGCGUGAGUGAAGAAGUCUUUCGGUAUGUAAAGCUCUAUCAGCAGGGGAGAAAAUGACGGUACCUGAUUAAGAAGCCCCGGCUAACUACGUGCCAGCAGCCGCGGUAAUACGUAGGGGGCAAGCGUUAUCCGGAUUUACUGGGUGUAAAGGGGGCGUAGACGGCAGGACAAGUCAGGAGUGAAAUGCCGGGGCUCAACCCCGGAACUGCCUUGGAAACUGUGGGGCUAGAGUGCAGGAGAGGUAAGUGGAAUGCCUGGUGUAGCGGUGAAAUGCAUAGAUAUCAGGAGGAACACCGGUGGCGAAGGCGGCUUACUGGACUGUAACUGACGUUGAGGCACGAAAGCGUGGGGAGCAAACAGGAUUAGAUACCCUAGUAGUC
rnacentral:rRNA from 1 species